GUAGGGUGGCAAGCGUUGUCCGGAAUUAUUGGGCGUAAAGCGCGCGCAGGCGGUCCUUUAAGUCUGAUGUGAAAGCCCACGGCUCAACCGUGGAGGGUCAUUGGAAACUGGGGGACUUGAGUACAGAAGAGGAAAGCGGAAUUCCAAGUGUAGCGGUGAAAUGCGUAGAGAUUUGGAGGAACACCAGUGGCGAAGGCGGCUUUCUGGUCUGUAACUGACGCUGAGGCGCGAAAGCGUGGGGAACAAACAGGAUUAGAUACCCUGGUAGUCCACGCCGUAAACGAUGAGUGCUAAGUGUUAGGGGGUUUCCGCCCCUUAGUGCUGCAGCUAACGCAUUAAGCACUCCGCCUGGGGAGUACGGCCGCAAGGCUG
rnacentral:rRNA from 1 species